UAUCACUAAGCGGUAGCACACGGGCCCCUGCCUUGCUCCUAGGUUGUAACUUAGAAGAUUGUAACCUUGGGGUUGGCUCUUGUCUAUGUUUCUUGGAACAGGACGUCACAGAGGGUGAGAAUCCCGUGCGAUGAGAUGCCCAAUUCUAUGUAAGGUGCUUUCGAAGAGUCGAGUUGUUUGGGAAUGCAGCUCUAAGUGGGUGGUAAAUUCCAUCUAAAGCUAAAUAUUGGCGAGAGACCGAUAGCGAACAAGUACAGUGAUGGAAAGAUGAAAAGAACUUUGAAAAGAGAGUGAAAAAGUACGUGAAAUUGUUGAAAGGGAAGGGUUUGAGAUCAGACUCGAUAUUUUGUGAGCCUUGCCUUCGUGGCGGGGUGACCCGCAGCUUAUCGGGCCAGCAUCGGUUUGGGCGGUAGGAUAAUGGCGUAGGAAUGUGACUUUACUUCGGUGAAGUGUUAUAGCCUGCGUUGAUGCUGCCUGCCUAGACCGAGGACUGCGAUUUUAUCAAGGAUGCUGGCAUAAUGAUCCCAAACC
rnacentral:rRNA from 1 species